rnacentral:rRNA from 1 species
AUUGAACGCUGGCGGCAGGCUUAACACAUGCAAGUCGAACGAGUGGCGGACGGGUGAGUAAUGCUUGGGAAUCUAGCUUAUGGAGGGGGAUAACUACGGGAAACUGUAGCUAAUACCGCGUACCAUAGGAUGAGCCCAAGUGGGAUUAGGUAGUUGGUGAGGUAAAGGCUCACCAAGCCGACGAUCUCUAGCUGGUCUGAGAGGAUUACCAGCCACGCUGGCACUGAGACACGGCCCAGACGCCUACGGGGGGCAGCAGUGGGGAAUAUGGCGCAAUGGGGGCAACCUGACGCAGCCAUGCCGCAUUAAUGAAGAAGGCCUUCGGGUUGUAAAGUUCUUUCGGUAGCGAGGCGUUGACUACAGAAGAAGCACCGGCUAACUCCGUGCCAGCCGCCGCGGUAAUUC